GACGAACCGUGCGAACGUUGUUCGGAAUCACUGGGCUUAAAGGGCGCGUAGGCGGGUGUGCAAGUCUGUGGUGAAAGCCUCCAGCUUAACUGGAGAAGUGCCGUGGAUACUGCGCAUCUUGAGGAGGGUAGGGGCAUCUGGAACGGUCGGUGGAGCGGUGAAAUGCGUUGAGAUCGGAAGGAACGCCCGUGGCGAAAAGCGAGCCCCUGGACGUCUACUGACGCUGAGACGCGAAAGCCAGGGGAGCGAACGGG
rnacentral:rRNA from 1 species